UCGGGAAUUUUGGGCAAUGGGCGAAAGCCUGACCCAGCAACGCCGCGUGAAGGAUGAAGUAUUUCGGUAUGUAAACUUCGAAAGAAUAGGAAGAAUAAAUGACGGUACUAUUUAUAAGGUCCGGCUAACUACGUGCCAGCAGCCGCGGUAAUACGUAGGGUGCAAGCGUUAAUCGGAAUUACUGGGCGUAAAGCGUGCGCAGGCGGUUAUGCAAGACAGAUGUGGAAUCCCCGGGCUCAACCUGGGAACCGCAUUUGUGACUGUAUAGCUAGAGUACGGUAGAGGGGGAUGGAAUUCCGCGUGUAGCAGUGAAAUGCGUAGAUAUGCGGAGGAACACCGAUGGCGAAGGCAAUCCCCUGGACCUGUACUGACGCUCAUGCAUGAAAGCGUGGGGAGCAAACAGGAUUAGAUACCCUUGUAGUCCCUGAGCGGGCUGGCAAGGCGCAU
rnacentral:rRNA from 1 species